CUAAAUAUUCCCAUUUCAAACUAAAUAAAUCAAAUAUUUAGUGUGUAAAUAAAAUAUGUAGAUUGUUAGCAGAAGGUUUAUCUUUCUAAUUAAAACAAUGAAUAAAUAAUAUUCUGGAAAUAUGAGUCUAAAAAAAAUGAAGCUCCAUUUUUUUCUGUUAUGACAAUAAAUAACAUGAAUUAUUGCUGUUAAUUGUCAUCACUGAAGCUCUUACAUCGAGUUUCCUCCAGUAAUUACAAGCCUUACUGUUUCCCCCCUACAGGGUAACAGUAAGGCUGUCACCCUGCCUGCCUCCACCAAAAGCAAUUCGAUAAGAAAUAAGAGAUUUACUUAAUCUUUCACUAACUCAAAUCUGCAAACUAAACACAUGCAACUUUCCUUACAAAUCAAAUGCGGCGCCAUUAAACUGGAAAUAAACAGGAUUUCCUGCAGCAUAAAAUUUAGCCAAACAAAUUUAGUUAUUUUUUAAAUCAAAUUCAGACGAUCAACUCAGUCAAAGGUCUUAUUUAUUUGACCUACAAAAACUUCUGUUUUGAACUUAUAUGUUCUCUAAAUGCCUAGAAGCAAAGGUGAGCCUUGUAUUACAAACUAAAACAAAUUAAAUGUUCUGUUUAAAAUUCAGUUAAAACUAAAGAAACUCAUGUACUCAUGACAAUCUGCAGCCACAACACCAGGGGGCGCUGGAGGUCAGAGUACUUUCUGUGUAGCUGCUCAUUGCGACACAUCGUCACUUAAAGCGAAUAUUUUUGUCAGGUUUAAAGGCCCUAUAACAUUUAAUUUGAACAUUUUCUGUUUCAAACGUAACAGAAAAUGGAAUACUGUAAAACUAUCUUUUUCUUUAAGCCUCUUCAUGCAAAAGGCAACAAAAAAUGUUUUACUUAACAUAAAAACAAAGAAAACAAACAAACAAAAAUACAAAACAGACAAAAAUUAAACAAGGAUAAACAUGAGCAAAAAAAUAAAGAAUUAAGGAAAAACUAGAGGUGGAGAUAAAAUUCCUACAAUUUAAAAUCACAAAUAAAUAAAUAAACUGAGUUAACUUUAAUUCAAACAGCCAUUAUGAAAGCCUCUAAGUUUUUCCAGGAUGUAAAAGCUUAUAUUUAUAAUAAAUUCUUCUUUUCUUGCUUUGACUGAAUGCCCGCCAUCUGUGUAAAUUAAAAAUUAAAUCAUAUCCAUUCCUGUAUUCUUUUAAUAUUUCAAACAGAUUCCCACACUUCAUGCAGAUGGAGGCCACGUCGUCCAGGCCUGCAGGGCGACUCCCUACGGAAACCCCAACUCCCGCAUCAGCUACACCACCAUUGAAAACCCGUACAGAGAACAAAGAUUUCUAGUUUAGAUCACCCUGAGUGGAGAGUCCAGCAGCUCAAACCUGCAGCCGUAAAACUAAACUAAAGGUCUGCAUCACCUGCUCGGUUCUCCUGUGUGAGAACGCCGUUCCUGGUACUCGGUGUUCUCAGGGAUGCACCAACCAAGGGAAGCUCCUUCUCAAACUAACAGCCACUCCAUUUCCCAGGGACCUCUGGCACUAAAGGGGAGUGGUUUUCUUCUCCUUCACAGGGUGGCAGGCUGAUGGGAUCCAGCUGUGACUCAUCACCACCAAUCUGCCUUAAACAAGAGCGGCUUCCCAGAAGCAGUGAACCCGUGCUGAACACUCUGAGACAUACUCACCUGAAGUAUCUGAUCCUUGCUGCUCCGUUGGGCUUUGCCACCUGGGUGCGUCACGCCCUCAAUCGCCUGCUGGAACUCCUCCAUCUGGAAACCACCAAACCACACCAACUGUUGGACCCCCAUGUCCUCUCCUCUGCUUACCUCUACUCGCAGACUGUAAGCCACCAACAGGUUACUCCGUCAUUCCCUUCAUUACUUCCCUCUUUAACCGUUCGCCCU